AAAAUUAUGCGCCGAAGUACGGUACCCAAUCUCCCGAAAAUCAGGUUACUGUACUUCUUGAAGGCGCACGCGUGUUUUGCUCG
ensembl:ncRNA PAR2.5 ncRNA